rnacentral:misc_RNA from 1 species
UGGCAUGAAAACACCUUAUGAAGGAUUCAUUCAUAGAGAAAAUGUGAUGACCUCGUAAAAAUGAGCUGAAAGAAAACUCAAGUAUGCCUCUAACUGGGGCAGAAACUGAUUUCUCUGCAACGUCAAGAUUGCAUUUAGAAGUUAAACCCACAGCAUGGCCCCAUGAUGGUGAAGUCCAAGCUCUAAUCAGAUCAACAUGAAGACACCUUUUCCGAGCUGCUCCCCAAGCCAUUCAUAUGCUUCUUAGAC